CGUCGCGCUGCAGUUGGGGCAGGGUCCCGGCUCCUACGGGAGGCAGCAGUGGGGAAUAUUGGACAAUGGGCGAAAGCCUGAUCCAGCCAUGCCGCGUGUGUGAAGAAGGUCUUCGGAUUGUAAAGCACUUUAAGUUGGGAGGAAGGGCAGUAAAUUAAUACUUUGCUGUUUUGACGUUACCGACAGAAUAAGCACCGGCU
rnacentral:rRNA from 1 species